rnacentral:rRNA from 1 species
UACGGGGGGGGGUAAGCGUUGUUCGGAAUUACUGGGCGUAAAGGGCUCGUAGGCGGCCAACUAAGUCAUACGUGAAAUCCCUCAGCUUAACUGGGGAACUGCGUGUGAUACUGGAUGGCUUGGAUUUGGGAGAGGGAUGCGGAAUUCCAGGUGUAGCGGUGAAAUGCGUAGAGAUGUGGAGGAACACCGAUGGCGAAGGCAGCCUCCUGGGCCAAUACUGACGCUCAUGCACGAAAGCGUGGGGAGCAAACAGG